rnacentral:rRNA from 1 species
AACGAACGCUGGCGGCAGGCUUAACACAUGCAAGUCGAGCGCCCCGCAAGGGGAGCGGCAGACGGGUGAGUAACGCGUGGGAAUCUACCCAUCUCUACGGAAUAACGCAUGGAAACGUGUGCUAAUACCGUAUACGUCCUUCGGGAGAAAGAUUUAUCGGAGAUGGAUGAGCCCGCGUUGGAUUAGCUAGUUGGUGGGGUAAAGGCCUACCAAGGCGACGAUCCAUAGCUGGUCUGAGAGGAUGAUCAGCCACACUGGGACUGAGACACGGCCCAGACCCCUACGGGAGGCAGCAGUGGGGAAUAUUGGACAAUGGGCGCAAGCCUGAUCCAGCCAUGCCGCGUGAGUGAUGAAGGCCCUAGGGUUGUAAAGCUCUUUCACCGGUGAAGAUAAUGACGGUAACCGGAGAAGAAGCCCCGGCUAACUUCGUGUCAGCCGCCGCAGUAAUAC